GCCUCAGACAUGCAAGUCGAACGCGAAAGUCCCCUUCGGGGGACAAGUAGAGUGGCGCACGGGUGAGUAACACGUAGGUAAUCUACCUUUGGAUGGGGAAUAACAACCGGAAACGGUUGCUAAUACCGCAUAACGCAGCGGCACCUAAUGGUGACAGUUGUUAAAGCGGGGAUCGAAAGACCUCGCGUCUGAAGAGGAGCCUGCGGCGGAUUAGCUAGUUGGUAAGGUAACGGCUUACCAAGGCGACGAUCCGUAGCCGGCCUGAGAGGGCGGUCGGCCACACUGACACUGACAUACGGGUCAGACUCCUACGGGAGGCAGCAGUCGGGAAUUUUGGGCAAUGGGCGAAAGCCUGACCCAGCAACGCCGCGUGAAGGAUGAAAUCCCUCGGGAUGUAAACUUCGCAAGAACGGGAAGAAUAAGUAGGGGAUAAUACCCCCUAUGAUGACGGUACCGUUUGUAAGCUCCGGCUAACUCCGUGCCAGCAGCCGCGGUAAUACGGGGGGAGCAAGCGUUGUUCGGAUUUACUGGGCGUAAAGGGCGCGUAGGCGGCCACCGCAAGUCAAUUGUGAAAUCUCCGGGCUUAACUCGGAAAGGUCAACUGAUACUACGGGGCUAGAGUGCGGAAGGGGCAACUGGAAUUCUUGGUGUAGCGGUGAAAUGCGUAGAUAUCAAGAGGAACACCUGCGGCGAAGGCGGGUUGCUGGGCCGACA
rnacentral:rRNA from 1 species